rnacentral:tRNA from 1 species
GGCGGAUUCGUCUAAUCGGACAGGACAAGAGGCUCUCAACCUCUAAAUGUCGGGUUCAAAUCCCACAUCCGUCA